UACGAAGGGGGCAAGCGUUGUUCGGAAUUACUGGGCGUAAAGGGCGCGUAGGCGGCCGAUCAAGUCAGGCGUGAAAUUCCCGGGCUCAACCUGGGGGCUGCGCUUGAUACUGAUUGGCUUGAAUGCGGGAGAGGAUAGUGGAAGUCCCAGUGUAGAGGUGAAAUUCGUAGAUAUUGGGAAGAACACCGGUGGCGAAGGCGGCUAUCUGGCCCGUAAUUGACGCUGAGGCGCGAAAGCGUGGGGAGCAAACAGG
rnacentral:rRNA from 1 species